GGUACACGGAAGUGAGGGGGGUCGGCAGUGGUGGAGCUUCGGUUGUAAAAUCCCUCCCUUUCGAAAACAGCUACUGUUUUUUUUUUUCUGUAGAAAGCACGUCACUGUAGUAUUGCUGGCGAGGUGGUCUGUAGCUGUCUCCUUCCAUACUGAAACGGUUCCUCUUCAGAUAAGAGAUUAUAGUGGUCUGUAUCUUGAAGAAAUUUUUUCAGCCACUGUAUUUGCCAACUACCUAAUCUGUUUUGCUUCAACAAGAUGGUGAUUUAAAUGGAAAGUUGGAUUUCAUAACUGGGCAUGAGGCAUUCAUUCCAUUUAGUUGCAUAUAUUCUAAUUCAAACACAGAAAGUUCAAAGCCAGUCACGUACAAAAAUUUGAAGUAUUUUGAGGAUUAUGUUCCCACACAAAAGGAUUUCACUCUAAGUAAAGGCUAUAAGUUUUGGCAUAGUGUGGACACUACCAAUAAAAGCAAGAAAAAGGAGCAGUCACCUACUGAGAAAGUAAAAGUGAUUCAUCUUAAAAGAGGAAGAUAAGGUUGGUUAUAUCCAGAAAAAUAGACUGGAUAGCAAUGGUCCUACUACUGAACCUUGAGAGACUCCAUUAAACAUCUGACUUAAGUA